AUGGCGUGUGGGACAAGUAAACUUGAUGUCCAAGUAUUUAACUUGGGGACCAAAGAGAAAACCAUUAUUGGAAGAGAAGAGGAAUUAAUUCAUUAGAGGUAUCAUCAAAGAAAGAAAGGUACGAACUCUCAAAUACGACAUGUUGACUUUUAUUAGUGUUCCGUUGAUUUUUGUGUCAAACAAACAAUUCAAUGAAGCUAGCAUUAUAUUCAAUGAACUUUAUUUUUCAAAAAAAAAUAUUUUUAACCAUAAACUAAUCUACUUUUAAAUACUCCUCCUGUAUAUAAUAUUAAUAUUAAUUUAAUAAAACAAACAUGUUAUGAUAGAAACUCAAAAAGCAUAUAAGAAAUCUAACAACUAAUCCUGCUGGUGCAUGUAG
rnacentral:lncRNA from 1 species